CUAUACGGCGAAACUGCGAAUGGCUCAUUAAAUCAGUUAUUGUUUAUUUGAUAGCACCUUACUACAUGGAUAACCGUGGUAAUUCUAGAGCUAAUACAUGCUAAAAAUCCCGACUUCGGAAGGGAUGUAUUUAUUAGAUUAAAAACCAAUGCCCCUCGGGGCUCUCUGGUGAUUCAUGAUAACUUCUCGAAUCGCACGGCCUUGCGCCGGCGAUGGUUCAUUCAAAUUUCUGCCCUAUCAACUUUCGACGGCUGGGUCUUGGCCAGCCAUGGUGACAACGGGUAACGGAGGGUUAGGGCUCGACCCCGGAGAAGGAGCCUGAGAAACGGCUACUACGUCCAAGGAAGGCAGCAGGCGCGCAAAUUAACCAAUCCCGACACGGGGAGUUAGUGACGAUACAUACUGAUACAGGGCUCUUUUGGGUCUUGUAAUCGGAAUGAGUACAAUUUAAACCUCUUAACGAUCAACAAUUGGAGGGCAAGUCUGGUGCCAGCAGCCGCGGUAAUUCCAGCUCCAAUAGCGUAUAUUAAAGUUGUUGCAGUUAAAAAGCUCGUAGUUGAACCUUGGGCCUGGCUGGCCGGUCCGCCUCACCGCGUGCACUGGUCCGGCCGGGCCUUUCCCUCUGGGGAACCUCAUGCCCUUCACUGGGUGUGCUGGGGAACCAGGACUUUUACUUUGAACAAAUCAGAUCGCUUAAAGAAGGCCUAUGCUCGAAUAUAUUAGCAUGGAAUAAUAGAAUAGGACGCGUGGUUCUAUUUUGUUGGUUUCUAGGACCGCCGUAAUGAUUAAUAGGGACAGUCGGGGGCAUCAGUAUUCAAUUGUCAGAGGUGAAAUUCUUGGAUUUAUUGAAGACUAACUACUGCGAAAGCAUUUGCCAAGGAUGUUUUCAUUAAUCAGGAACGAAAGUUAGGGGAUCGAAGACGAUCAGAUACCGUCGUAGUCUUAACCAUAAACUAUGCCGACUAGGGAUCGGACGAUGUUAUUCAUUGACUCGUUCGGCACCUUUCACGAAA
rnacentral:rRNA from 1 species